AGGAUGAACGCUGGCGGCGUGCUUAACACAUGCAAGUCGUAGCGAAAGCAUUAAAACAGAUUUCUUCGGAUUGAAAGUUUCUAAUCGACUGAGCGGCGGACGGGUGAGUAACGCGUGGGUGACCUGCCUCAUACAGGGGGAUAACAGACAGAAAUCGUCUGCUAAUACCGCAUAAGCGCACAGUGCUGCAUCGGCACCGUGUGAAAAACUCCGGUGGUAUGAGAUGGACCCGCGUCUGAUUAGCUAGUUGGUAAGGUAACGGCUUACCAAGGCGACGAUCAGUAGCCGGCCUGAGAGGGUGAACGGCCACAUUGGGACUGAGACACGGCCCAAACUCCUACGGGAGGCAGCAGUGGGGAAUAUUGCACAAUGGGGGAAAGCCUGAUGCAGCAACGCCGCGUGAAGGAUGAAGGGUUUCGGCUCGUAAACUUCUAUCAAUAGGGACGAAAAAAAAUGACGGUACCUAAAUAAGAAGCCCCG
rnacentral:rRNA from 1 species